UACGUAGGGUGCGAGCGUUGUCCGGAAUUAUUGGGCGUAAAGAGCUCGUAGGCGGUCUGUCGCGUCGGCUGUGAAAACCUGGGGCUUAACUCCGGGCCUGCAGCCGAUACGGGCAGACUAGAGUUCGGCAGGGGAGACUGGAAUUCCUGGUGUAGCGGUGAAAUGCGCAGAUAUCAGGAGGAACACCGGUGGCGAAGGCGGGUCUCUGGGCCAAAACUGACGCUGAGGAGCGAAAGCGUGGGGAGCAAACAGG
rnacentral:rRNA from 1 species